rnacentral:rRNA from 1 species
AUCAAGGCUGAGGCGUGAUGACGAGGCACUACGGUGCUGAAGCAACAAAUGCCCUGCUUCCAGGAAAAGCCUCUAAGCAUCAGGUAACAUCAAAUCGUACCCCAAACCGACACAGGUGGUCAGGUAGAGAAUACCAAGGCGCUUGAGAGAACUCGGGUGAAGGAACUAGGCAAAAUGGUGCCGUAACUUCGGGAGAAGGCACGCUGACAUGUAGGUGAAGUGAUUUACUCAUGGAGCUGAAGUCAGUCGAAGAUACCAGCUGGCUGCAACUGUUUAUUAAAAACACAGCACUGUGCAAACACGAAAGUGGACGUAUACGGUGUGACGCCUGCCCGGUGCCGGAAGGUUAAUUGAUGGGGUCAGCGCAAGCGAAGCUCCUGAUCGAAGCCCCGGUAAACGGCGGCCGUAACUAUAACGGUCCUAAGGUAGCGAAAUUCCUUGUCGGGUAAGUUCCGACCUGCACGAAUGGCGUAAUGAUGGCCAGGCUGUCUCCACCCGAGACUCAGUGAAAUUGAACUCGCUGUGAAGAUGCAGUGUACCCGCGGCAAGACGGAAAGACCCCGUGAACCUUUACUAUAGCUUGACACUGAACAUUGAGCCUUGAUGUGUAGGAUAGGUGGGAGGCUUUGAAGUGUGGACGCCAGUCUGCAUGGAGCCGACCUUGAAAUACCACCCUUUAAUGUUUGAUGUUCUAACGUGGACCCGUGAUCCGGGUUGCGGACAGUGUCUGGUGGGUAGUUUGACUGGGGCGGUCUCCUCCUAAAGAGUAACGGAGGAGCACGAAGGUUGGCUAAUCCUGGUCGGACAUCAGGAGGUUAGUGCAAUGGCAUAAGCCAGCUUGACUGCGAGCGUGACGGCGCGAGCAGGUGCGAAAGCAGGUCAUAGUGAUCCGGUGGUUCUGAAUGGAAGGGCCAUCGCUCAACGGAUAAAAGGUACUCCGGGGAUAACAGGCUGAUACCGCCCAAGAGUUCAUAUCGACGGCGGUGUUUGGCACCUCGAUGUCGGCUCAUCACAUCCUGGGGCUGAAGUAGGUCCCAAGGGUAUGGCUGUUCGCCAUUUAAAGUGGUACGCGAGCUGGGUUUAGAACGUCGUGAGACAGUUCGGUCCCUAUCUGCCGUGGGCGCUGGAGAACUGAGGGGGGCUGCUCCUAGUACGAGAGGACCGGAGUGGACGCAUCACUGGUGUUCGGGUUGUCAUGCCAAUGGCACUGCCCGGUAGCUAAAUGCGGAAGAGAUAAGUGCUGAAAGCAUCUAAGCACGAAACUUGCCCCGAGAUGAGUUCUCCCUGAGACUUAAAGUCUCCUGAAGGAACGUUGAAGACGACGACGUUGAUAGGCCGGGUGUGUAAGCGCAGCGAUGCGUUGAGCUAACCGGUACUAAUGAACCGUGAGGCUUAACCUUACA